rnacentral:tRNA from 1 species
GCCGCUAUAGCUCAGUGGCUAGAGCGUUGGUCUCGUAAACCAAAAGGUCGCAAAGUUCGGAAUCUUGUUGGCGGCA